rnacentral:rRNA from 1 species
CACAAGCAGCGGAGCGUGUGGUUUAAUUCGAUGCUACACGAAGAACCUUACCAGGGUUUGACAUGCUAGUGGUAGGAACCGAAGGUGACCGACCCUUCGGGGAGCUAGCACAGGUGCUGCAUGGCUGUCGUCAGCUCGUGUCGUGAGAUGUUGGGUUAAGUCCCGCAACGAGCGCAACCCUUGUCAUUAGUUGCUACAUUCAGUUGGGCACUCUAAUGAGACUGCCGGUGACAAACCGGAGGAAGGUGGGGAUGACGUCAAGUCCUCAUGGCCCUUAUAGGUGGGGCUACACACGUCAUACAAUGGAUGGUGCAAAGGGUCGCCAACCCGCGAGGGGGAGCCAAUCCCAUAAAGCCAUUCGUAGUCCGGAUCGCAGUCUGCAACUCGACUGCGUGAAGUCGGAAUCGCUAGUAAUCGUGGAUCAGAAUGUCACGGUGAAUACGUUCCCGGGUCUU